rnacentral:rRNA from 1 species
CCUACGGGUGGCAGCAGUGGGGAAUAUUGCACAAUGGGGGAAACCCUGAUGCAGCGACGCCGCGUGAGUGAAGAAGUAUUUAGGUAUGUAAAGCUCUAUCAGCAGGGAAGAAAAUGACGGUACCUGAUUAAGAAGCUCCGGCUAACUACGUGCAAGCAGCCGCGGUAAUACGUAGGGGGCAAGCGUUAUCCGGAUUUACUGGGUGUAAAGGGAGCGUAGACGGCAGCGCAAGUCUGAAGUGAAAUGCCGGGGCUUAACCCCGGAACUGCUUUUGAAACUGUGCAGCUAGAGUGCAGGAGAGGUAAGUGGAAUUCGUAGUGUAGCGGUGAAAUGCGUAGAUAUUAGGAGGAACUCC